GUUGACUGCUCCAGAAGUGGCUGAGCUAACCCGCAAGGGAGGCAGGCCCCCAAGGAGUGGUUGGUAACUGGGGUGAAGUCGUAACAAGGUAGCCGUAGGUGAACCUGCAGAAGGAUCA
rnacentral:rRNA from 1 species